GACGAACGCUGGCGGCGUGCUUAACACAUGCAAGUCGAACGGAAAGGCCCUGCUUUUGUGGGGUGCUCGAGUGGCGAACGGGUGAGUAACACGUGAGUAACCUGCCCUUGACUUUGGGAUAACUUCAGGAAACUGGGGCUAAUACCGGAUAGGAGCUCCUGCUGCAUGGUGGGGGUUGGAAAGUUUCGGCGGUUGGGGAUGGACUCGCGGCUUAUCAGCUUGUUGGUGAGGUAGUGGCUUACCAAGGCUUUGACGGGUAGCCGGCCUGAGAGGGUGACCGGCCACAUUGGGACUGAGAUACGGACCAGACUCCUACGGGAGGCAGCAGUGGGGAAUAUUGCGCAAUGGGCGGAAGCCUGAUGCAGCAACGCCGCGUGCGGGAUGACGGCCUUCGGGUUGUAAACCGCUUUCGACUGUGACGAAGCGUGAGUGACGGUAAUGGGUAAAGAAGCACCGGCUAACUACGUG
rnacentral:rRNA from 1 species